rnacentral:rRNA from 1 species
AUUGAACGCUGGCGGCAGGCAUAACACAUGCAAGUCGAACGAGUGGCGGACGGGUGAGUAAUGUCUGGGAAACUGCCUGAUGGAGGGGGAUAACUACUGGAAACGGUAGCUAAUACCGCAUACCAUCGGAUGUGCCCAGAUGGGAUUAGCUAGUAGGUGGGGGAAAGGCUCACCUAGGCGACGAUCCCUAGCUGGUCUGAGAGGAUGCCCAGCCACACUGGAACUUAGACACGUUCCAGACUCCUACGGGAUGCAGCAGUUGGGAAUAUUGCACAAUGGGCGCAAGCCUGAUUCAGCCAUGCCGCGUGUAUGAAGAAGGCCUUCUGGUUGUAAAGUUCUUUCGGCGGGGAGACGUUACCCGCAGAAUAAGCACCGACUAACUCCGUACCAGCAGCCGCGGUAAUAC